UCCUCUUUACAGAGGCAGUUCGUUCCGAGUCCCCGACUUUACUCGCUGGUAACAGAACGUGAGGGUUGCGCUCGUUGCGGGACUUAACCCAACAUUUCACAACACGAGCUGACGACAGCCAUGCACCACCUGUGUACCACCCUCGAAGGAGCUCCUUUUCGGGAGUUUGCAGGUACAUGUCAAGCCCUGGUAAGGUUCUUCGCGUUGCAUCGAAUUAAGCCACAUGCUCCACCGCUUGUGCGGGCCCCCGCCAAUUCCUUUGAGUUUCAACCUUGCGGCCGUAGUCCCCAGGCGGUUCACUUAAUGCGUUAGCUGCGGCACCGAGGGUAACCCCCCAACACCUAGUGAACAUCGUUUACGGCGUGGACUAC
rnacentral:misc_RNA from 1 species